GGCGUUGUACUUUAGUUCAUUACUGUGCCUGUCUUCUAAACAGGAGAUCCUGGGUUCAAAUCCCAGCAGUGCCU